GACCAUGUAGCUCAGUUGGCAGAGCAUUGGACUAGUAUCCCAAAGCUUGUGGGUUCGAUUCCCACCAUGGCCA
rnacentral:tRNA from 1 species